UAGGGAAUCUUCGGCAAUGGACGAAAGUCUGACCGAGCAACGCCGCGUGAGUGAAGAAGGUUUUCGGAUCGUAAAACUCUGUUGUUAGAGAAGAACAAGGACGUUAGUAACUGAACGUCCCCUGACGGUAUCUAACCAGAAAGCCACGGCUAACUACGUGCCAGCAGCCGCGGUAAUACGUAGGUGGCAAGCGUUGUCCGGAUUUAUUGGGCGUAAAGCGAGCGCAGGCGGUUUCUUAAGUCUGAUGUGAAAGCCCCCGGCUCAACCGGGGAGGGUCGUUGGAAACUGGGAGACGUGAGUGCAGAAGAGGAGAGUGGAAUUCCAUGUGUAGCGGUGAAAUGCGUAGAUAUAUGGAGGAACACCAGUGGCGAAGGCGGCUCUCUGGUCUGUAACUGACGCUGAGGCUCGAAAGCGUGGGGAGCAAACAGG
rnacentral:rRNA from 1 species